rfam:Camelus ferus unplaced genomic scaffold scaffold1408, whole genome shotgun sequence.
GAGGGUAUAGCUCAGUGGUAGAACACGUGCUUAACAUGCAUGAGGUCCUGGGUUCAAUUCACAGUACCUCCA